AUUCCAGCUCCAAUAGCGUAUAUUAAAGUUGUUGCAGUUAAAAAGCUCGUAGUUGGAUUUCUGCCAGGGUGCCAAUGUCCGCCGAAGUGCGUGCGCAGCGGCGCCCUCGCAUCCUUCUGUUAACGCCUCUCGGCAUUUACUUGCCGGUGGUGGGCUCAGAUAAUUUACCUUGAGAAAAUUAGAGUGUUUCAGGCAGGCUAGGCCGGAAUACAUUAGCAUGGAAUAAUGGAAUAGGACUACGGUCUCGUUGUUGGUUUGAGGGACUGGAGUAAUGAUUAAUAGGGAUAGUUGGGGGCAUUAGUAUUUAAUUGUCAGAGGUGAAAUUCUCAGAUUUGUUAAAGACUAACUUAUGCGAAAGCAUUUGCCAAGGAUGUUUUCAUCA
rnacentral:rRNA from 1 species